CGCUUUCCAGUAUUAAAAAAUGGAAAUAGUUGCACUGCACCUGUACCAGUCGAUGGAAAAGCCACAGUUUUAUCAAACACUUGUGCAUUUGAUUCCAUUGCUCAGAUCUUCACGGUUGCAUGUUUUGACGAUGCCGAUUUUAUGGAGUGCUGCAAAAAAUCAAAACUGAUUUUCUUCGAUCUUAUUGCAAGCAUGAGUACCCACCAACUGAAUUACGGCAUGUACAUUACGCGAGCAAAAUUAUUAAAAUCGUUGAUGCCAUUUCAAGAAGGAGAGGAAAUCGACGCAGUGAAAUGCCAAAUUAACGCUGGAGAAUUAUGCGCAAAACUGUUUUCAAAAAUUCCCAGCUUUACAACGAUCAAAACUUGUAGUACUGGCUGCGCUCCCAUAGAAAAGGAUUGGCCAACAGUUUUAGUGCCACUCAACGAAAUAAAACAAAUUCCUCAGUAUUUGGAGGAAUCUGUAUUUAUUAGACAUGCAAAGCCAUGUCGAAACUGCAAAAUAACAACAAAUAUUGAUUUUCGAAUUGGUGUGUAUCAAUUUAUAAAUUUAUUUUCUUAUAUUUGUAAUAUUUUACUUUAUUUAAUUAAAAAAAUUUUAUUUUAGGGCCCUUUGCAAUAGUCGAGAUAUACCCUGUAGACGAUAAUAACUGCAAUAUACAACUGAAGGAUAUUCAAAAAUGUAUUGAAUUUAAGAAUAAAAAUAAACUGCAGCUACUUGGUGUCGUCAAAUUUAGAGAAUUUAUUUCUCGAAAAAAUACAAGAAAUCAAGAAAUGAAAAAAUUAAAAACCGCCAUUGAGAAUAAAGAAAAUAUUCUUUCAAAAAACGAAGUUCCGGUAAAUGGCCAUUACACGGGUCUUGUUUUGUGUGGAGAUAACUCAUGGAUAGAGUUUGAUGAUUUUAAUCCCCAACAAAAGCCAAAAAAAAUAAAAGACUGUACGUGGCUUCAGCCACAUGUAGCCAUCUAUAAGCUUAAAAAAUAAAUAUUUAUUUUAAUGAAUAGUUUGUUUUUAU